GCUUCCGGGCGGCGCUGUGGGGAGGGAGGAGCUGCCAUGUCCGCUGAGGGACGCGCUGCCGGGCCCGGCGCCGGAGCCGCCUCUCGGCUUUGAAGACUGCCAAGAACACACCAUUCAACUCAUUUAAGCAUUAAAAUAGUCAUACCCAUGGAAGAGCCUCAAGACUUACCCGAACAACCAGUGAAAAAAGCCAAGAUGCAGGAAUCCAGAGAACAAAGCUUGAGUCAUGUGAGCAACGCAGAAGUCAGCGAUGAGAAACCUGAAUCUUCAAGCCUUGGUUCAAACCUUCCCAUGUCCAGUGAGAUUAUGACAUGCACUGAUUAUAUCCCAAGGUCAUCAAAUGAUUAUACCUCACAAAUGUAUUCUGCAAAGCCAUAUGCACAUAUCCUUUCUGUACCUGUAUCGGAAACCAUGAGCCCUUACCCUGGUCAGCCUCAGUACCAAGCACUACAGCAGUCUCAGCCCUACACCAUCUACCCCCAGACCACCCAAACCUACGGACUACCUCCUUUCGGUGCACUGUGGCCAGGUAUGAAACCUGAAAGUGGUUUAAUUCAGACUGCAUCUACAAGUCAGCACAGUGUUCUUACCUGCACUACAGGGUUAACCACAAGCCAGCCCAGCCCAGCACAUUAUUCUUAUUCCAUUGAAGCAUCAACUACCAAUGCCAGUCCAGUCUCUACAUCCUCAACUGUUGUCAAUAUUUCCACGUCAGCAGUAGCCAGCAUCUCACAGGACUAUCCCACGUACACAAUCCUUGGCCAGAGUCAGUACCAGACGUGUUACCCGAGUUCUGGCUUUGGAGUGGUGACACCAGCAGAGAGCAACACGGAGAGCACUGCGUUAGCCACAGCCACGUAUCCAGCCGAGAAGCCAAGCGCCAUGGUGCCUACGCGGGCCGUGCAGAGACAUUCUUCUGGAGAUGCAUCCACAAGUCCUUCAUUAUCAAGAGCAACAGCAAGUAAAGAGUUAGACGAGCAGGCAAGAAAAAACAUCCCUGGGAAGAACAGGGGAAAGAGGAAAGCAGAUACCUCCUCCUCACAGGACAGCGAACUGGAGCGAGUGUUUCUCUGGGACCUGGAUGAGACCAUCAUCAUCUUCCAUUCUCUUCUCACAGGGUCUUAUGCUCAAAAAUAUGGCAAGGACCCAACUAUAGUGAUUGGCUCAGGUCUGUCAAUGGAGGAGAUGAUUUUUGAAGUAGCUGAUACCCACUUGUUUUUCAAUGACUUGGAGGAGUGUGACCAGGUACACAUAGAAGAUGUGGCAUCUGAUGACAAUGGCCAGGAUUUAAGCAACUACAAUUUCUCCACGGAUGGCUUCAGUGGCUCAGGAAGUAACACAAACCACAGCUCCUCAGUUGGUGUCCAGGGUGGAGUGGACUGGAUGAGAAAACUGGCCUUCCGCUACCGCAGGGUACGAGAGAUCUACGACAAGUACAAGACCAACGUUGGAGGCCUGCUGAGCCCACAGAAGAGGGAAGCUCUGCAGCGACUAAGGACUGAUAUAGAAGUGCUAACAGAUUCCUGGCUGGAAACUGCAUUAAAGUCCCUGCUACUCAUACAGUCCAGGAAAAACUGUGAGAACAUCCUGAUCACAACCACCCAGCUGGUGCCAGCUCUUGCCAAAGUUCUCCUCUAUGGAUUGGGCGAGGUGUUUCCCAUUGAGAAUAUUUAUAGUGCUACAAAAAUAGGUAAAGAGAGCUGUUUUGAGAGGAUCGUGUCACGAUUUGGAAAGAAAGUCACCUAUGUGGUGAUUGGAGAUGGGCGAGAUGAAGAGGUGGCAGCUAAGCAGGUGGGUUUCUGACUCUGCAGAGGUGGGACGUGGGUCCAUGCAAAGGGGAGUUUGCAGUUAUCUUCUGCAGGGGCUCUCGUUCCAGGGCUGAAUUCUUCAGGCCAGGGCAGCCAAGGGGAAACUUUGCCUUUGAUGCAAGAGAUCUCUCAUUAUGUUAAGAGGGGGAAUUUUGUGGCUAUUGGGGGUUUAAAGUUUCAGUUUUACUGUUGUUUAGGAUUGUGUAUAACAUUGUCCCUGUAAGACAGUAUGUUGAUGUAGCAUGUCUUGAUCAUAGCAUGCAGCUAUUAGUUGGGAUACUGCAGUUUCUCAGAAGCACAGAGGGAGUCAGGACUCAGCUGCCAGCAGCCAGAUCAAUACACAGCAUCUACCAUUGGUCUCAAUGACAAACAAGGAACAAACAGGUUGUUCAUUCCUGCUAACUAAAGGCAGUGAAGUGCACAGGUUGCUGUCAGGACAUCAUCUCUGCAGGAUCCACAUGCCUGCCACAUGCCAGAGAUGUCACUUCCCUGGAAAGGCUUUCCUGGGUGAAGCAGCUGAGGUUUCCAUCAGGAGCAUGCCAAGCAGCUGAUAGUGCUGGUGCCUGUCAUCAACAGAUGUGCAGACAAGGUUAAGCUUCAGAUACACACCAUGCAGCCGAGGUCCUCCCUGAACAUGCACAACAUGCCUUUCUGGAGGAUCACAAACCACGCAGACCUCGUGUCCCUUCACCAAGCCCUCGAGCUUGACUUCCUGUAGGAAGCUGGAGGGAAGGUGUGACUGCAGCUCCUGCAAGCCCUCUCCAUCGCUGGGGAGGCAGAAACCUCGUACAUUUGGGGACUCACUUUUCAGCUUGAUGAAGAAAACAUACCCAAUGAGAACUGUGCAGCAGAACACGGCCCCGAGGCACGAGCUCAGGAGCACGGGCCCUGUACAAAGGUGUCCUGUGAGGAAGCUCUGGACUCAGCAGAGCUAGAGCUUGUCUGAAGAAGAGACUCAGAGAAGCCAGCUGACUUCCUCUCGCAGGUAGCCUCCAGAGGGAGAGGGUGAUCCAGCAGAAGUGCUUGUAGGGGCCUUCUCCUUUCUGUUCAGCUUAGUUGUAGAAUCCAAGUAAACACAAAACCUUAUUUUUAUAGAGAAAUCCUGAUGGCAGAGCUGAACCUCCCUUGUUCCGUGAAGCCAAUGAGAGCUGUGGGCUUUUCAUAGGAAAUACUAAUGAAAAUGUCAAAAAUACCUCUACUGCUGUGAAAUGUGUCCUCUCUCCUUCCCUGGGUGUUCAAAGCAGUUAAUUUAUUACAAUGUCCUUAUGUUAUUUCCUCAGUGUGGGAUUACUGGAAAAUAGAUAAGGGAAUGUUCCUGGGAUACGUGGUUCCUUGUAGAGGAAAGUCUUGGUGUUGAGUUGAUCCUGAUGGCUUCUAGUCAAUGUGUGCUCGAGGCUGUUAACCAGCAGGAGAUCACUGGAUUCCAUCCAUGAUCCAGACCAUAGAUCCCACAGAUUUUCCCUGAACAGGAAAACAACUGCCUGUGAAUGUUAGAUACAGCACAACACUAUUGCAGACUGGUCUGGUGGGCACAGAGUCCUCAUCUGGACUAGGAAUAAUUUGAGAGGACUAAAUCCUCAUGGAUGUUACGAAGAAGGGAAUGGUUAUUAACCUUCACCUCCGCUUUCCUGACUCCAUUUGUGAGAGUAAGUUCCUUUUAGUAGAAACUGAUCCAAUUUUCUUGUAUUCUUCUUUGCAUAACUACAUAGUUAGAAGCAAAACCCUUGUUAAAAGGGACUUCAUUUUGGAAGACACUGUGACUCAGCAGCCCGGAGCACGUUGGCUUUGGGAGUGAUGGCUCAUUGAAAGGAAGCUGGAGUCCAUGCCCUGCAGUGCCAGGAAUCAGGAAUUGUGCCAGCUCAGGCUGGGUUCAGUGGUUUCUGCCUCCUCCCUGUAUCCUGAUGGUACCAAACUAGGCAUUGCUGGGGGUUCCUGCACAGAGAUGUCUGCUGUGUCCCACCACACACCUCUGCUGCACCCAAACCCCUCCAGCCCAGCGCCACUCGCCUGGGACACGCAGGGCCAGGUCUGGCCCCACAGCGCUGCAGGGAGGACGCUGACCCACGGGGGCUGUGCCACAGCCACAGGUGAUGUGUUUGCUGCAGACCUCGGCAUUAGUGACUGAGGAGUGAGUUCCAUCAGUGCUGGGGACCAUGGGGCACCAUCAUGGAGAUGUGCCUGGAGCAAGGGGCUUGGAUCCCCAGAGCUCAGGGGCUGCACACAGAGGUCUGUUGCUCUGGUUCACAUGUCCCUAGCCCCAGUUUUGCUUCUUGGUUUUUAAUCAGAGGAGAUUCUCUUUCUCCAAGGUGGUCACAGGAGUCAGAAGUCUGCUUUCCAUCCAGCUCCUUGCUAGGUGUUGGCCUUGUGCUCUGAUCUCAGGCACUCUGGCUCUGAGUAUUUCCCCAGGAACUCUGCUUUAGGACCAUGCCCCUUGUGUAGACGCUGCUGCCUGUGCGCAACCUGCCCUCUGGUCCCAUUAGAAGCAUCUUGAGGAGCCAAUUCCUGCUGUGGGUGUUACUGAGCAGCUCAGAGGAGGGGAUGGAGCAGGCAGGGGCCGUGCUGGGCAGCAGGGGUUGAGGAGAAGCAGGAGCCCAUGGGAGAUGUUCUUCCAUCUGCCACACACAGCACUGGGAGAGCUCAGGCAUGUCACCAUGUGCAGCCCAUGGAGGUGUGUGCUGGGGUUCCACAGCAGCGUGGGCCCCUUGCAGAGCAAGGAGGGAUGCUGCAGGGCUGCAGCUCCAUUGCUGCCGGGUCCAUGAAGAGACCUGUGGUCCCUGUGAAGUGUUGUUCCUGCAUCAGCCAGAGUGGAUCCUGUAGGAAAAGUGCUGUGCCAAGGAGCAGCCCCAUUGCUCCCAGGGUCCGAAACGUUACCAGAGGGUCAGGACUCAACUCACAGUCAGAGUCUGUGCUGGAUCCUGCACAUCCCUGCGGGUCCCCAGCCCAUCCAAAGCUCUCCUGGGAGCUGUCCCGGGGGUGCCACAGCUUGUUGGGAGCACACUGGCUCCAGGGGGCUGAACUUUAGGAUUAAACCCUGUGCCUUAACCUCCCACCAUCCAGUUCCCCAGGGCCCGCAGCAGGCUGCAGAGGGGGUGCAGACCCCAGGGACCCCCAGCUCGGCUUCAGCUGCCUUUACUUCAAAUGGUUUUAAGGAAAUUCUAAGAUUUCAGCAGACUUUUUCCUCAAGUGUGGAACCGCUGCAGCCAGGGAUGCUCCACACGGAUAUUUAUACACGUUUCCUUGAAUGUAUGUAAAGUCCUUUUCUAACCAGAGGUUGUUGGUACGUUCCUGUGUUCAUGUUUAAUAAAGGUUGCCCUGGCUGGUUUGUUUUUCCCCCUCCUGGCUGGAUUAAGGCUUUUCCCAUCUCCUGUGGGGCCGGAGCAGCAGCUCUGUCCCUCUGUUGAUUUUCUUGUCUCUGCUCUCCUGUUCCUGACCUGGUGCCAAACCCAGCACAGGGAUGGCAGCGGGGCUGCUGCCUCCCCUCCAGCUUCACCACAGCCACUGGGGCUUAAACCCCCCCUGCUCCGCUCUGUUCGCUGCCUCCAGGGGCGAGCUGGGAGCAGCAGCACCCCCAGUGCAGCCCCUGCUGUGCUCCCGGCCCCUCUGCAGCGGGAUCAGGAUGAGCCCUGGGCACCGCUGGCUGCGGAGCCAUUGCCUGUUCAUGGUCUGCAAUGGGAACUGUCCUAUGAACUGGAAAAACAAAUAAAGUCUUUAUUUUCUAUA